rnacentral:tRNA from 1 species
GGACGCGUAGCUCAGCGGGAGAGCACUCGCCUCACACGCGAGGGGUCGCUGGUUCGAACCCAGCCGCGUCCA